rnacentral:rRNA from 1 species
AUUGAACGCUGGCGGCAUGCCUUACACAUGCAAGUCGAACGGCAGCGGGGACUUCGGUCCGCCGGCGAGUGGCGAACGGGUGAGUAAUGUAUCGGAACGUACCAUUCAGUGGGGGAUAACUAUCCGAAAGGAUAGCUAAUACCGCAUAUUCUGUGAGCAGGAAAGCAGGGGAUCGCAAGACCUUGCGCUGAUUGAGCGGCCGAUAUCAGAUUAGCUAGUUGGGGAGGUAAGGGCUCACCAAGGCUACGAUCUGUAGCGGGUCUGAGAGGAUGAUCCGCCACACUGGGACUGAGACAUGGCCCAGACUCCUACGGGAGGCAGCAGUGGGGAAUUUUGGACAAUGGGCGCAAGCCUGAUCCAGCCAUGCCGCGUGAGUGAAGAAGGCCUUCGGGUUGUAAAGCUCUUUCGGCCGGGAAGAAAUCGCAUCAGCUAAUACCUGGUGUGGAUGACGGUACCGGAAUAAGAAGCACCGGCUAACUACGUGCCAGCAGCCGCAGUAACAC